rnacentral:rRNA from 1 species
UCAGCAGCCGCGGUAAUACGUAGGRUGCGAGCGUUGUYCGGAUUUAUUGGGCGUAAAGAGUUCGUAGGCGGUUUGUUAAGUCWGAUGUUAAAGACUGGGGCUCAACCUCGGGACUGCAUUGGAUACUGGCAGACUGGAGUAUGGUAGAGGCAAGUGGAAUUCCCAGUGUAGCGGUGAAAUGCGUAGAUAUUGGGAAGAACACCGGUGGCGCAAGCGACUUGCUGGGCCAUUACUGACGCUGAGGAACGAAAGCUAGGGGAGCSAAUGGGAUUAGAUACCCCRGUAGUCCUAGCCGUAAACGAUGGAUACUAGGCGUAUSGGGUAUCGACCCCUGAUGUGCCGCAGCUAACGCGAUAAGUWUCCCGCCUGAG